AUUGAACGCUGGCGGCAUGCCUUACACAUGCAAGUCGAACGGCAGCACGGGAGCAAUCCUGGUGGCGAGUGGCGAACGGGUGGGUAAUAUAUCGGAACGUGCCCAGUAGUGGGGGAUAACUGCUCGAAAGAGCAGCUAAUACCGCAUACGACCUGAGGGUGAAAGGGGGGGAUCGCAAGACCUCUCGCUAUUGGAGCGGCCGAUAUCAGAUUAGCUAGUUGGUGGGGUAAAGGCCUACCAAGGCAACGAUCUGUAGUUGGUCUGAGAGGACGACCAGCCACACUGGGACUGAGACACGGCCCAGACUCCUACGGGAGGCAGCAGUGGGGAAUUUUGGACAAUGGGCGCAAGCCUGAUCCAGCAAUGCCGCGUGCAGGAAGAAGGCCUUCGGGUUGUAAACUGCUUUUGUCAGGGAAGAAAUCCUCUAGGUUAAUACCCUUGGGGGGAUGACGGUACCUGAAGAAUAAGCACCGGCUAACUACGUGCCAGCAGCCGCCGCCGUAA
rnacentral:rRNA from 1 species